AGGGGGAGGGAAAAGGAAACAGAAGGGAAGACAGAGGGGGAGGGGGAAAGGGAGCGGUAGGAGGGCUCAGCAAGUCCUGCUCUGAUUCCGCGCCGAAGUGGCGGACAGCGAACCCGGACUGCUCAGCCUCUCCAGCCCCAUCUCCUUCACCCUGGACCUGCCGGAUCCCAGCGGACCGCAGGAACACGGCCACUCCCUUUCUCCCUACCCCCACUGUCCAGUUCAUCCAGUCUCCACCGUCUCUCCCCUGCUUAACGGGUCUUUAAGGAGAUUAGUCUG
rnacentral:lncRNA from 10 species